rnacentral:snRNA from 1 species
GUGCUCGCUUGGGCAACACAUAUACUAAAAUUGGAACAAUACAGAGAAGAUUAGUAUGGCCCCUGCGCAAGGAUGACACGCAAAUUCGUGAAGCAUUCCAUAUUAAA